AGUAGACAAUUCCACGUGUGUUCAUUCAUAGUUUUGAUGCCUUCAGUGAGAAUUUCCAAUGUAAAUAUUCAUGAAAAUAAAGGAAAUGCCUUGAAUGAGAAAGUGUGUGUAAACUUUUUGCCUG